CAGAGUUGCAAAACUCCCUAAACCAUUGUGAACGUUACCUAAACCGUUGCUUCGGGCGGGCGGCCCCGGGGUUCUCCCCGGGCGCCCCUGGGCCCCAUCGCGGGGCGCCCCGCCCGGAGGGUCACCAAACUCUUGAUAAUUUAUGGCCUCUCUGAGUCUUCUGUACUGAAUAAGUCA
rnacentral:misc_RNA from 1 species